AUUGAACGCUGGCGGCAGGCCUAACACAUGCAAGUCGAACGGUAGCACAGAGAGCUUGCUCUCGGGUGACGAGUGGCGGACGGGUGAGUAACGUCUGGGAAACUGCCCGAUGGAGGGGGAUAACUACUGGAAACGGUAGCUAAUACCGCAUAACGUCGCAAGACCAAAGUGGGGGACCUUCGGGCCUCACACCAUCGGAUGUGCCCAGAUGGGAUUAGCUAGUAGGUGGGGUAAUGGCUCACCUAGGCGACGAUCCCUAGCUGGUCUGAGAGGAUGACCAGCCACAGUGGAACUGAGACACGGGCCAGACUCCUACGGGAGGCAGCAGUGGGGAAUAUUGCACAAUGGGCGCAAGCCUGAUGCAGCCAUGCCGCGUGUAUGAAGAAGGCCUUCGGGUUGUAAAGUACUUUCAGCGGGGAGGAAGGCGGUGAAGUUAAUAACUUCACCGAUUGACGUUACCCGCAGAAGAAGCACCGGCUAACUCCGUGCCAGCCGCCGCCGUAA
rnacentral:rRNA from 1 species